rnacentral:misc_RNA from 1 species
AAAUAAUAUGCAUUGACCUUUUGCUCAACAAAUAACUUCUCAUCGAAACAACAAAAGGGUUGAAAUAAAUGCAUAAAGCUUCAGUUUGCAUAUCAUUAACAUCCCCAAACAAAAGCUCUGUAGAACAGUCGAAGUGCUAUGUUGAGGUGGAUCAGCCACCAAUUUCGUUCACUUUUCAACACAUGCUUUUUCUACUCAUCAAGGCAGCUUCCUAUAGAGAACCAAUUGACUAUGACUGCACUAUAUACACCUAUUAUCAACAUAUUGCCAUAUAUAGCAUCUGUAUUCACUGUUCUUACUGUCAAUGGCCUGGUGCAGUUGUCCAAAGGAUCAACACUCCAUGUGUUAAAUUAUCAUGGAACCCAUAAUUAAGAGACUUCUCAAAUAGAAUCAUAAGACGCUUUAAUAGUGUUGGCCCAUUCAAACCUUUAACAUUUAAAAUCCAUUUAUCCUCUUGUUUUGAAAAGAACUUCCUAUGCUUGACUAAUGUUUAAUCCGGCCCAGACUAAAGAAAGUCUUCAUGAAAUCUGUGAAUAGCUUUUGCCAACUGAAAGGUGGAAAAAUAUUGGCAAAGAUAAAGGAAGAGAUAUGUCAAGGCUUAAAUCAAGUUAGGCACAUAAAAGAUGACACCAAGGUUUUGGUAAAGGGAGAGAACAUUAAAGAAAGGUGAAAAUAAGAGAAUGUACAUUUAGCUUACAGAUGUUUAUCCUAGGCUAUUUGAUGUAGGAAAUCUUAGAGAUUUUACGACUACUUAUUUUAGAAGAAAAUAUAGAAUGUAAUAGUCUAUUUUAUCUAAAAAUUUUAUUUCUAUUUAACUAGAAUUUUUAUUUGAUUUGUAAUUUUGAUUCCUAAUUAGAACUGGAUUACGUUUCUAAUCAUAAUGUAAUUAGGGGUCACAAAAACUCUAUAAAUAGGGCCUAGGAUCUCCAUGGAUUUAAAUCGCAGUCAUGG